rnacentral:rRNA from 1 species
UGGGGAAUUUUGGACAAUGGGCGAAAGCCUGAUCCAGCAAUGCCGCGUGUGUGAAGAAGGCCUUCGGGUUGUAAAGCACUUUUGUCCGGAAAGAAAUCCUUGGUUCUAAUAUAACCGGGGGAUGACGGUACCGGAAGAAUAAGCACCGGCUAACUACGUGCCAGCAGCCGCGGUAAUACGUAGGGUGCGAGCGUUAAUCGGAAUUACUGGGCGUAAAGCGUGCGCAGGCGGUUUGUUAAGACCGAUGUGAAAUCCCCGGGCUCAACCUGGGAACUGCAUUGGUGACUGGCAAGCUAGAGUAUGGCAGAGGGGGGUAGAAUUCCACGUGUAGCAGUGAAAUGCGUAGAGAUGUGGAGGAAUACCGAUGGCGAAGGCAGCCCCCUGGGCCAAUACUGACGCUCAUGCACGAAAGCGUGGGGAGCAAACAGGAUUAGAUACCCCUGUAGUCC